ensembl:snRNA U6 U6 spliceosomal RNA
GUGUUCACUUUGGCAGCGCAUAUACUAAAUGAUGCAGAGAUUAGCAUGGGCCCUGCACAAGGGUGACAACGAAAUUCAUGAAGUAUUCCAUAUUUGC